CGCGGGGUGGAGCAGCCCGGUAGCUCGUCAGGCUCAUAACCUGAAGGUCGUCAGUUCAAAUCUGGCCCCCGCACCCA
rnacentral:tRNA from 2 species